AAGGACUGUUUUAUUGUUCGGGUGUGGUGAGUAAGGCUCCCCAGCCAAGCCCAUAGGUGUUGGAAGGAAUUCACCCCACUGGAAUGGACACGGUCCAGUUCUUCGGGAGCACCAUGGGGAAUUUCACAAUGGGGAACCCUGAGCAGCAAGCCGGUGGAGGAGACGCAUUCGGGGGUUAACUCCUUUUAUAUGGAAGAUAUGACGGUACCAUAGGAUAAGCACCGGCUAACUCCGUGCCAGCAGCCGCGGUAAUACGGAGGGUGCAAGCGUUACUCGGAAUCACUGGGCGUAAAGCGCGCGCAGGCGGCUUUGUAAGUUGGAAGUGAAAUCCUAUGGCUCAACCAUAGAACUGCUUCCAAAACUACUAAGCUAGAGUGUGGGAGGGGAAGAUGGAAUUAGUUGUGUAGGGGUAAAAUCCGUAGAGAUAACUAGGAAUACCAAAAGCGAAGGCGAUCUUCUGGAACACUACUGACGCUGAGGCGCGAAAGCAUGGGGAGCAAACAGGAUUAGAUACCCUGGUAGUCCAUGCCCUAAACGAUGAAUGUUAGUCGUUGGCAUGCUCGUCAUUCCAGUGAUGCACUUAACAGAUUAAACAUUCCGCCUGGGGAGUACGGUCGCAAGAUUAAAACUCAAAGGAAUAGACGGGGACCCGCACAAGUGGUGGAGCAUGUGGUUUAAUUCGAAGAUACGCGAAGAACCUUACCUAGCCUUGACAUUGAUUGAAUUCUUUAGAGAUAGAGAAGUGCCCUUUUGGGAACAUGAAAACAGGUGCUGCACGGCUGUCGUCAGCUCGUGUCGUGAGAUGUUGGGUUAAGUCCCGCAACGAGCGCAACCCUCGUGACUAGUUACUAACGGUUCGGCCGAGGACUCUAGUCAGACUGCCUUCGCAAGGAGGAGGAAGGUGAGGACGACGUCAAGUCAUCAUGGCCCUUACGGCUAGGGCGACACACGUGCUACAAUGGAUGGGACAAUGAGAGGCAAUACCGCGAGGUGGAGCAAAUCUAUAAACCCAUUCUCAGUUCGGAUCGUAGUCUGCAACUCGACUACAUGAAGCUGGAAUCACUAGUAAUCGUAGAUCAGCCAUGCUACGGUGAAUACGUUCCCGGGUCUUGUACUCACCGCCCGUCACACCAUGGGAGUUGAUUUCACCCGAAGCGGGGAAGCUAAACUGGCUACCCUCCACGGUGGAAUUAGCGACUGGGGUGAAGUCGUAACAAGGUACC
rnacentral:rRNA from 1 species